rnacentral:pre_miRNA from 1 species
AGCCUUCUGUGUCCGUGCUGUGAUUUCAUAACACACCAGAGCACAAGAGUUGAUCAGAUUACCAAGGUAAGUGAAGUG